rnacentral:rRNA from 1 species
CGGCGGACGGGUGAGUAACGCGUGGGUAACCUGCCUCAUACAGGGGGAUAACAGUUAGAAAUGGCUGCUAAUACCGCAUAAGACCACAGCACCGCAUGGUGCGGGGGUAAAAACUCCGGUGGUAUGAGAUGGACCCGCGUCUGAUUAGCUGGUUGGUAAGGUAACGGCUUACCAAGGCGACGAUCAGUAGCCGACCUGAGAGGGUGACCGGCCACAUUGGGACUGAGACACGGCCCAA